rnacentral:rRNA from 1 species
GACGAACGCUGGCGGCGUGCUUAACACAUGCAAGUCGAACGGAAAGGCCCUGCUUUUGUGGGGUGCUCGAGUGGCGAACGGGUGAGUAACACGUGAGUAACCUGCCCUUGACUUUGGGAUAACUUCAGGAAACUGGGGCUAAUACCGGAUAGGAGCUCCUGCUGCAUGGUGGGGGUUGGAAAGUUUCGGCGGUUGGGGAUGGACUCGCGGCUUAUCAGCUUGUUGGUGGGGUAGUGGCUUACCAAGGCUUUGACGGGUAGCCGGCCUGGGAGGGUGACCGGGCCCAAUGGGACUGGGGAACGGGCCAGAGUGCAUCGGGGGGCAAGAGUGGGGAAUUGUGCCAAAAGGGCCGAAGGCGUGAUGAGGGACGCCGGGUGGGGGAAGACGGCCUUUGGGGUGGAAACCGGUUUCGGCUGGGAAGAAGCGUGAGUGACGGUAAUGGGUAAAGAAGCACCGGCUAACUACGUG